rnacentral:tRNA from 1 species
GCCUGAGUGGCUCAGCUGGUUGAGCUUCUGACUUCAGUCAUGAUCUCACAGUUUGUAGGUUCGAGCCCCACAUCAGGCU